rnacentral:rRNA from 1 species
CCUACGGGAGGCAGCAGUGAGGAAUAUUGGUCAAUGGACGAGAGCCUGAACCAGCCAAGUAGCGUGAAGGAUGACUGCCCUAUGGGUUGUAAACUUCUUUUAUAUGGGAAUAAAAUGAUCCACGUGUGCAUUUUUGUAUGUACCAUAUGAAUAAGGAUCGGCUAACUCCGUGCCAGCAGCCGCGGUAAUACGGAGGAUCCGAGCGUUAUCCGGAUUUAUUGGGUUUAAAGGGAGCGUAGGUGGAUUGUUAAGUCAGUUGUGAAAGUUUGCGGCUCAACCGUAAAAUUGCAGUUGAUACUGGCAGUCUUGAGUACAGUAGAGGUAGGCGGAAUUCGUGGUGUAGCGGUGAAAUGCUUAGAUAUCACGAAGAACUCCGAUUGCGAAGGCAGCUCACUGGACUGCAACUGACACUGAGGCGCGAAAGUGUGGGUAUCAAACAGGAUUAGAUACCCCUGUAGUC